UCUAUUCAGUGAUGUGAUGAUAGUCGAAGU
rnacentral:piRNA from 1 species